rnacentral:tRNA from 1 species
GGGGUUGUAGCUCAGUGGUAGAGCGCUUGCCUUGCAUGCAUGGGGCCCUGGGUUUGAUCCUUAGCACCA